ensembl:snoRNA
UAAUGAUGAAUACUAAACUGAAAAUAGCUGGAAUUACCGUCAGAUUGUACAGUGGUGAUAUUCGGUUUUUCUGAAC